UCCUAUUUUAAAGUUCAAUGCAGAAUGAAGGUGCCUCCCUGCAAUCUCCAAUUAUCAUUGUCUUGCACUAGCUGAUGCGAACUUGUGCUUUCAAAUUUCAUCAUCUCACCUAGUUUUCUGUCAUCCUUGACAGAAUUUCCCUUCCCUUGGCACCCAUUCUGCAACUCUAAUGGUCCACUGGUUAUCUACCCUAUGCAUUACAUGGCCUGCCCAGCUUCAUUUUUUCCUCUUAAUGUCUACUAGAAUAUCGACUAUCCACACUGCUCUCUUCCUGUCUCAUUGUCAUUUAUCAUUGCAUUGCUCUUUGUACGGCCCUUAACAUGUUCUCGAGAUUCUUCGUUAACCUCCAGGCUUAUGUGCCAUACUGCAUGCUUAGAAGAACAACGUGUCUACCAAGUUGACAUUUUCAAAUUCCCUGAUUUUUUCAGAUUUCACAGAACUUUGUUUUAUGUCAAGAUGGGCUGACACCAUGUCACCUGAUGCUGUCACUCUCUGGUCAGCUCUUUGCAAGGACAUGGUGCUAUGCAGCCUUCAGCUGCUGAAGAGGCAAGAUUACAUUUCUGAAUUACACUACACGAUUACAUUACAUUUGAAGAGGCAAGAUUACAUAUUUAAGUGUUUCAAUGUUUGGUGUCAUUGAUAAACCGUCAUAGGGAUUAUCUGCACCAGUGUUAUCAGAUCGCUUUCAAGAUAUGGGCCCGCUCUUCAAGGCAAAGCGACGAGAACAUGGAGUUCAAGAUAUGGUCCACGCGGCGCAUAAUGGUUUGACGUGGAUGGAUAAGGCACUAAAGAGCAGUAUCAGCUUAUAAUGAUCAGAACGUCAUCAGCACACCUGGCGCCGCCGUCUGCAGCAGUCCGUGUUGCUGCGACGCUGCUGUUUAUACCGGUCAUAUUAACUUCCAUAACACUCUUUUUUGUUCAAGUACCCUAAAGAGCCCAGGAGGCAUAGGGGUGGGGGAUGUUACGAUUGGCCAGCGGGGAUAGUGACCUUCUGGCUUCACUGCAAUGAAUCGCUUCGUGAAGCCAACAACACGCCCCCUUCGAAUAGCCCUUCGGAGCCAGUAAGGCUAGACACGUUUGGCGGACAGGAUUGUUAGCUGGUUCGCUGUCACCUUCAGGGACCAAUUGGAGCAAGAAAACUCCUGGAAAUGUUUGUUCUAUGGCAUUCCCCCAUGUACUCUGGUAAUAGUCACGGUCAUGACAGAUUCAGCAGCAAACUGCAGAGUCAGCUCAGGAACGACAUGCCAGCUUGAGUCAAGCGUGACAACACCUGUCUAUGAGGCCUCACUGGUUUUGGUGUGUUCAGUAAAACAAAAGUGCAAGAGAGUGUGUGAACCUUCGCCCUCAAAGGCGGGUACUUCGACGACUUUGGAUGCUUUGAUUGGAUGAAGGUUGGAUGGCAGCUUCCCCUGGCCUAGGGAUCUAGUAAGGACAGAGUGUGUUUAAGCAGACAUUUUCGGCUGUUCAGUGUGCAUUUCAGUCAUGCUAGACUGAUCAGAUGUAAUGUUCUCCACCCUUCAUGUAGAUAUUGUAAAUAAAUCCCCUACUCCUCA
rnacentral:lncRNA from 1 species